UACGUAGGGUGCAAGCGUUGUCCGGAAUUAUUGGGCGUAAAGAGCUCGUAGGCGGUCUGUCGCGUCUGCUGUGAAACCUAGGGCUUAACUCUGGGCGUGCAGUGGGUACGGGCAGGCUAGAGUGCGGUAGGGGAGACUGGAAUUCCUGGUGUAGCGGUGAAAUGCGCAGAUAUCAGGAGGAACACCGGUGGCGAAGGCGGGUCUCUGGGCCGGUAACUGACGCUGAGAGCGAAAGCAUGGGGAGCGAACAGG
rnacentral:rRNA from 1 species